rnacentral:rRNA from 1 species
GACGAACGCUGGCGGCGUGCUUAACACAUGCAAGUCGAACGGAAAGGCCCUGCUUUUGUUGGGUGCUCGAGUGGCGAACGGGUGAGUAACACGUGAGUAACCUGCCCUUGACUUUGGGAUAACUUCAGGAAACUGGGGCUAAUACCGGAUAGGAGCUCCUGCUGCAUGGUGGGGGUUGGAAAGUUUCGGCGGUUGGGGAUGGACUCGCGGCUUAUCAGCUUGUUGGUGGGGUAGUGGCUUACCAAGGCUUUGGAGGGUAGCCGGCCUGGGAGGGUGACCGGCCACAUUGGGACUGAGAUACGGACCAGACUCCUACGGGAGGCAGCAGUGGGGAAUAUUGCACAAUGGGCGGAAGCCUGAUGCAGCAACGCCGCGUGCGGGAUGACGGCCUUCGGGUUGUAAACCGCUUUCGCCUGUGACGAAGCGUGAGUGACGGUAAUGGGUAAAGAAGCACCGGCUAACUACGUG